GAUUCAGUGAAAGAAGUUCUAGGAGGCUGUGAAGCAAAGAGUUAAAAUUGUGUCCUGUCCGUCUGCGUCUGCUCGUGGCCCCCUUCCUGCCCCCACGCGCUCUGUACGCAUAUCGCUGUCCCGGCGGCGCCCGGUCUGGACGGAGCCCCGUCAGCGCAGGAGCCCUGCGUCAGGCUUUGCCAUCACUGCGUAGUUGCCGCAGUGUGGCUGGGCCGCCGUCAGUGGGGCCAGUGCCCCUGGUGGACCUCCGGGCUGCAGCCCAGUUCUUUCUACUUGUGAUGGGGCCACAGGGUGACUGGAGGUCGACAUCCUCUCGUGGCCAUGCUGUUGAUGCCAGCCGACACCAGCUGAGACCAGUGUUUGUCUGCAUCUCAGGGGACACCAUUACAGGCACCCACAGGAAUUGGGGGCCAGUGGGGAGGAGGUUUGGGUCCCCGUAAGUAGUGUAGGGAGCAGUUUAGAGUUGGGUUCUGAAGUCAGAUGGCCCAUGAUUUGAAUCCUAGCUAUGCCCCUUGCUGGCUGUGUUACUUUGGGUGAGUUAUUCAACAUCUCUGAGACUCAGCUAGGUCAUCAGAAAGGCCAAGCUCACAGGAGCAUCUAGUUCAGAUGAUUGUUGUGGAUGAGUCAGUACAUACUUGGUGCUUAAAACAGUGCUGGGCCCAUUAGCUGCUGAUAUAUUACUUGGGCACCUAUAGUACAGUAUGUACGAACUGGUUUAUUUCAUCCUUACAACUAGGGGAACAUGAAGCUCUGAGAGGUAAAGGGACUUGUAGCCCCAAACUGGAUACUCACCUCUUGCUGCUCUCAGGACCCUAUUUCAGGUCCCAGUGGGGAGGGUAGCUGGUGUGAGGGUGGCCCGCCCCUGCUGGGAAAUGGGAUUUCCAGGGCUGGAGCCUAGUCCGGGGCACGAGCCUUGAUGAGGAACAGAUGCACAGAGUUGGGGCCCCGCCUACUCCCCGUCUGCUGCCCGGGGUGGGGGGUGGCGAUAGCUUCCAGAUGGGCUCUGCUCUCAGCAGUACCUUAAGUGACUCGUUCUGGGUCCCUGCGGGGCAAGACUGCAGACCUCUUCCCUGGCUCUCAGCCCCUCUGGUCCUGGUAGAUACCUGACAAGCUACCUUGGUUUGGGCUAGGUGACCUCAAGAAAGUUGGUCCUGCUCAGAGCCUCAGUUUCUCCCUCUGAGAAACAAGCAUUCUCCAUCACUGUCCUGGUAGAGCUGUUGUGUGCCGGGAAUCCUAAGGAGAAGCAUUUGAGGUUUUCCCAAACUGUGGAGGGCUGUGCAUCUGGGGCAAAAUCUUCCAGACCAGGCACCCCUGGAGAAGGAGAGCUUUUGUGUUUGGUUUUUAUUUUCUAUUCAUAUUUAGUUUCUGAAUGUAUUCAUAUCUGGAAUACAAAAUUUCAAAGGUACAAAAGGAAGUGGACAUAGUGAAAGAUGUUUCUCUCCCACCUCGACCUCCAGACACCCAGAGACCCUCCUUCCCCAAAGCAACCCCAUCACCAAUUUCUUGUGAAUCUGCCAGAGAUAUUUUUUGCACAUGUAAGGAAAUACAGAGGAAUUUUUUUACCCAGUGACGGCAGACUUCACACACUACUCAGUACUGUUCUUCUGUUAUUGAAAACACCCUUUGGAGGUCUUUCUACAUGUCUCUAGGAAGAUCACCUCAUUCCUUUUGAUGCCUGACGAGGGUGAGCUCCAAAACAGCUCACAACUCUUCAGCACAGACACUGACAAAUCAGAAUGGAUCCCAGCAGUGCACAACCACUACAGCUGUACGGUGCCAGCCCUGUGUCUGUGUACUGUUUUCAGUGCAUGGAUGUGUCAAUGUGGACUUAACCAGUCUUCAAGUGAUGGGCACCAAUGUUUUAUUUUUUCAGUCAAGCUUGCAAUGGCAAUGAAUAUCCAUUUUAGACAUUUGUGGAAGGAUAUAAGUAGGAUAUUUUCCUAGAAGUAAAAUUGCAUUCUAUAUCCACAUGUAAACAAAUUUUAUUUUAUCCUCUACCUUGCAGCAGACACAACAAUGAACUUGAAAUGGGCCAUAGAUCUAAAUGUGAAACCUAAGCCCAUAAAACAUCCAAACAAAAAGUAGGAGAAAAAUCUUUGUGACCUGGGGUUAGGCAAAGAUUUUCCAGACAAGACACAAAAAGUAUGAAUCAGAAAAGAAAAAAAAUGAUAAGUUUGACUUAAUUGAAGUUAAAAACUUCUUCUCUUCUAAUAGCAAUUUUAGGAAAAUGAAGACAAGUUAUGGACUGGGAGAAAAUAUUUGUAAAAGUUACAUCUGAUAGAAGACUUAUAUCCAGAAUAUACAUAAAGUGUUUGCAUAACUCAAUAAUAAGAGAACAAAUAAUGCAAUAAAAACUAGGCCAAAGAUUUUAAAAGAUACUCCACCAAAACAUAGAUAUUGAUGGCAAGUAAGCAUAUGAAAAGAUACUGAACAUUAUCAGUCAUCAGGGAAAUGCAAAUGAAAACCACAGUGAGAUACUGCUAUGCACCUAUUAGCAUCGGCAUGAAGACACUGCUGAUGCCAAGUGCUGGUGAGCGCCUACAGCAGCUGGAACUUGGGAAAACAAUUUGGCAAUUUCUUAUAAAAUUAAAUCUGCACUUACCAUAUGACCCAGCAAUCCCACUCCCAGAUGUCUACCCAAGAGAAAUUAAAAUUGUGAAAAAACAUUCACAAAUGUUGAUAGCAGCUUUUCGAAUAAUCACUAAAAACUGGAAACAAUUGUCCUCCAGCAGGUGAACGGAUAAAUAAUAGAAUACUACUUGGCCCACAAAAAAGAAUGAACUAUUGAUACAAGCAAAAAUACAGAUGAAUCUCAAAGGCAAGAUGUGGAGUGAAAGAAGCCAGACUCAAAAAGCAACGUACUGUAUGAUUUCAUGUCCAUGACCUUCUGGAAAAGGCAAACCAUAUGGAGAGAGAACAGCCGCUGCGGAAAGGGAGACUCAGGGGGCAAAGUCACACACCCAAGGUCAUGCAGCUUGUUGGGCGCAGAGCUGGGAUGUGCACCCGCGUCUGCGUGACUUGCUGGUAUGUUCUAUCAUUCCCACUUCAGAGUGGAUCAGGGAACCCGGUGAGCCCAGGCACAAUUUACCCCUGAAUCUUGGUGUCUGAACGAAGCCUCAGCAGAAUUUCACACCAAGUUUGCACAAGGAGUGGAAACAGAACCUGCAGGGACAGAGAGAAACUUGUCUUGGGAUGGCGUGCGGGGACUCACUUCAAAAGCUGGCCCCUCGCUCUUUGGCAGGUGGCUGGGGCGCCCACACUUGGAGGUAAAAGAUGGGUCCUCCCUCCCUGAGCUCAAGGACAUGUCUCCAAGACACUCUCUGAAAAACGCUUUAUUUUGGAAUUUAUGUCCAAAGCCAUUUGAAUCUUUAUCAAGGGUAUUUAAAGACCUGUUUGAAAAAUGUC